rnacentral:rRNA from 1 species
AUUGAACGCUGGCGGCAUGCUUUACACAUGCAAGUCGAACGGUAACAGGCCGCAAGGUGCUGACGAGUGGCGAGCGGGUGAGUAAUGCAUCGGAACGUGCCCAGUCGUGGGGGAUAACGCAGCGAAAGCUGCGCUAAUACCGCAUACGAUCUAUGGAUGAAAGCGGGGGACCGUAAGGCCUCGCGCGAUUGGAGCGGCCGAUGUCAGAUUAGGUAGUUGGUGAGGUAAAGGCUCACCAAGCCAACGAUCUGUAGCGGGUCUGAGAGGAUGAUCCGCCACACUGGGACUGAGACACGGCCCAGACUCCUACGGGAGGCAGCAGUGGGGAAUAUUGGACAAUGGGGGGAACCCUGAUCCAGCCAUGCCGCGUGUGUGAAGAAGGCCUUAUGGUUGUAAAGGACUUUUGUCGGGGAGGAAAUCCCCAGCGCUAAUACCGCUGGGGGAUGACAGUACCUGAAGAAUAAGCACCGGCUAACUACGUGCCAGCAGCCGCCGUAAAAC